CAUGCGGAGAUUCUUGUUCGUGGAUAGGUAUCACGGUCAAAAGCUUCAGUACCGUGAUGAAUAUAUACAAUACAUCAAUGUGAGUUUGGCAAUACCCAUAGCUCCCUUAUUUAAUUUCUUUCCUUUUCAUUUUAUGAUUGUGAGCUUUAUGUUUCUACCUGACUCGAGUAAUUCUACUGUUGAGUUGAUGUAAAUACCAAUUUUAGGUGAAAACAGAACCUGAAAUUUAAAUUAACAAAUACUUUUACUACAAGUUACUGUCAGUUUCUCGCUUUGACUCAUUCUGUAUCAAUUAUCAAACCUUGUUCAAGAUUCUGCAUUUAGCACAAAUUUUUCAUCUUGGUGGAUGUGUUAACUACUUUGGUAGGAAAGUUUAUCUAUCUAUUCCCGUGGUUGUCUCACACUCAUUGAUUAUUGGGAACAACUUGUUUCCAUUAUUUAUUAUAGCUAAUACAGCAGUGAGAUCAUAAUUUUGUAUAUCCAAAUUUUAUAGAGUCUAACCGCACCGCUAUACUUUUAAAAUAAUCUAUUUAGCCGAGAGGCAUCCCGGCUAUAUCAAGUUAUGUUUCAGCAGUCGCAGCUGAAGUAAUGCCCAAGGUAUGAUGUUGUCCAAAUUUCUUUUCUACAUCAUUUCGAAUUUUAGUAUUGUCCUUUAUAGUAGUUAUGGAUAGGCUUCUAAAAGACUACUUCAACAUCCUCAACUACUUCAGACAGGUAUGAUCAAUUUCUUUUUAUUUUGUUGAGAUGUGCUAAACAUGCUAUUAAAUAUCAAUUCCAGAAGCUGUGGCAGAUGCAAUCCAAAGACUUUGGACAAUAUUUAAAGCCAUAUUUGAUCUUCGUGCUUGGGACAAUGAAGUCUCUGUGCAGAUGCAAAUACGCUUGUGUUUCGUUAUGUGA